rnacentral:rRNA from 1 species
GAUGAACGCUGGCGGCGUGCCUAAUACAUGCAAGUCGAGCGAACAGACGAGGAGCUUGCUCCUCUGACGUUAGCGGCGGACGGGUGAGUAACACGUGGAUAACCUACCUAUAAGACUGGGAUAACUUCGGGAAACCGGAGCUAAUACCGGAUAAUAUAUUGAACCGCAUGGUUCAAUAGUGAAAGACGGUUUUGCUGUCACUUAUAGAUGGAUCCGCGCCGCAUUAGCUAGUUGGUAAGGUAACGGCUUACCAAGGCAACGAUGCGUAGCCGACCUGAGAGGGUGAUCGGCCACACUGGAACUGAGACACGGUACAGACUCCUACGGGCGGCAGCAGUAGGGAAUCUUCCGCAAUGGGCGAAAGCCUGACGGAGCAACGCCGCGUGGGUGAUGAAGGUCUUCGGAUCGUAAAACUCUGUUAUUAGGGAAGAACAAAUGUGUAAGUAACUAUGCACGUCUUGACGGUACCUAAUCAGAAAGCCACGGCUAACUACGUG